UUGCCCACCUUGGCUGUUCCCAUUCUGCUUCCUCCCUCCCGGCUCCGCUUUGUGCUCAGUGAACAUUCACACGUGUGCGCUCAUCACGCCAUGACUGCAGGCUGCCAACUAAAGGGGGGGGGGCUUGGGCAUCCUGGGACAAGAUCUAGAAUUGCCUCCAGCACAACGCGUGUGAGAGACCACAAACCGAACGGAGGGGUUCACACUGGCUCCCUCCCCAAGAUUUGGGCAACUUAACGUUUUUGGAUUAGUAUUCCUGACUGGUUCCUUGCACUAGUUCCUGCUUUUUAUUUGGGGUCUACAGCUGUCCAAAUAAGGAAAAUAUGCCUUCCACCCCAUCAUCUACAAAAGGCAACAGCUGCCGCUGGCUCCAAGUAAUGGAGGGAUUAACUAUACCAAACCACAGGCAGGG